UACGUAGGGUGCAAGCGUUAAUCGGAAUUACUGGGCGUAAAGCGUGCGCAGGCGGUGAUGUAAGACAGAUGUGAAAUCCCCGGGCUCAACCUGGGAAUGGCAUUUGGGACUGCAAGGCUUGAGUGCGGCAGAGGAGACUGGAAUUCCUGGUGUAGCAGUGAAAUGCGUAGAUAUCAGGAGGAAUACCGAUGGCGAAGGCAGGUCUCUGGGCUGACACUGACGCUCAUGCACGAAAGCGUGGGGAGCAAACAGG
rnacentral:rRNA from 1 species